rnacentral:rRNA from 1 species
UCACCUUUCCACACUCAUCCUGAAUGUAAUUGAUCUCAUCAGAUCUCAGGAGUUUAGCCAGGUCAAAUCUGGUUAGUAUUUGGAUAGAAGGUGAC